rnacentral:rRNA from 1 species
GAUGAACGCUGGCUACAGGCUUAACACAUGCAAGUCGAGGGGAAACGCCGGGGAAGCUUGCUUCCCCGGGCGUCGACCGGCGCACGGGGGAGUAACGCGUAUCCAACCUGCCUCUGACUGAGGGAUAACCCGUCGAAAGUCGGCCUAAUACCUCAUGGCAUCGUCUGCGGGCAUCCAACGACGAUUAAAGAUUUCAUCGGUCAGGGAUGGGGAUGUGUCUGAUUAGAUUGUUGGCGGGGUAACGGCCCACCAAGGCUACGAUCAGUAGGGGUUCUGAGAGGAAGGUCCCCCACAUGGGAACUGAGACACGGGCCAAGCUCCUACGGGAGGCAGCAGUGAGGAAUAUUGGUCGAUGGGCGGGAGCCUGAACCAGCCAAGUAGCGUGCAGGAUGACGGCCCUAUGGGUUGUAAACUGCUUUUAUGCGGGGAUAAAGUGAGGGACGUGGCCUACAUGGCAGGUACCGCAGGAAUAAGGACCGGCUAAUUCCGU